rnacentral:rRNA from 1 species
AUGCUUGUCUCAAAGAUUAAGCCAUGCAUGUCUAAGUAUAAACAAAUCUAUACUGUGAAACUGCGAAUGGCUCAUUAUAUCAGUUAUAGUUUAUUUGAUGGUUUUUGCUACUUGGAUAACCGUAGUAAUUCUAGAGCUAAUACAUGCAUCAAACCCUAACUCACGAAGGGGUGUAUUUAUUAGAUGGAAACCAAUGCAGGGCAACCUGGAUUCUGGUGAUUCAUAAUAACUUUCGGAUCGAUCGUAAGAUCGAUGCAUCAUUCAAGUUUCUGCCCUAUCAGCUUUGGAUGGUAGGGUAUUGGCCUACCAUGGCUUCAACGGGUAACGGGGAAUA